GUGUCAGCCGCCGCGGUAAUACGGAGGGUGCAAGCGUUAUCCGGAUUUACUGGGUUUAAAGGGUGUGUAGGCGGGCUAUUAAGUCAGUGGUGAAAUCUCCGAGCUUAACUUGGAAACUGCCAUUGAUACUAUUAGUCUUGAAUUUUGUUGAGGUAGGCGGAAUAAGUCAUGUAGCGGUGAAAUGCUUAGAUAUGACUUAGAACACCAAUUGCGAAGGCAGCUUGCUAAACAAACAUUGACGCUGAGGCACGAAAGCGUGGGGAUCAAACAGGAUUAGAUACCCCAGUAGUCC
rnacentral:rRNA from 1 species